AAGCGCUUGCAGCUAGACGUGCCCGCAUUUGCUCUCCCAGACUCUUGUCUGGUGCACUCUUUUGCGGGCAGGCCAGCAUCAGUUUAGGCGGUUGAAGAAAAGCGGGAGGAAUGUAGCUCCCCUCGGGGAGUGUUAUAGCCUCCAGUGCAACGCAAUCAGCCUAGACUGAGGUCCGCGCAUCUGCUAGGAUGCUGGCGUAAUAGCUUUAAGCGG
rnacentral:rRNA from 1 species